UGGAGCAUAUAUUAUACGGUUAUUGAAAUCCCACAAUAGAAGACGAGUUUUAAAUAUUUGACUAGGUAUAUACAAGAAUAUAUUUUCCAUAUUUUUUUUUUCUCUUUAUGUAUUAUUAUUUAACUGUAAGUCCCUCAAAAAAAAAAAAAAAAAUUCGACUAUUAGCUUUAUUAAUUUGUAUAGGUGUAACACUAAUCGGUUACAGAGUUAGUUUUUGUUGUACCCAUAUAUACACUAGUUUGGCCUAUAUACAGAAUUCUGUACUUGAACUUUUCAUAUUGUUGUCUGUAGUGUUCCCAAUCAACAAACUAAUUCGAAACUUACCUGAUUACAUUUCCCGAAUAUCUUCCUAAACAAACCCAAUCUAACAAUAGCAAGCAAAAUCAAUAGUUGUAACAUUGUGAAAACAAGUUGCUACCACCAAUAUAAGUAUUAAGUUUAAUUUUUAAUUUAAUUAAGUCUCUCUUCUAAUGGUAUGAUUACUCUCUAAGUUUUGUGGCCAUCAUAACAUUUUUAUCUAUCUUAAACUGCCUUUAUACAGUUUUUAAAUCCCAGACUUUAUAAAUCCUCCUACCCCACGUCAAUCUACCUUCUCCUUGGUUUUCUUUUAGAUAUUUUUCUUUGAGAUUUCCACUCCAUAACUGCCCUAACUGUCUCGUCAUUACCUAUGGUUGUUAUCUGGCUAAUCCAUUUAAUUCUUUGGCCCUAUUUGAUGUUAAUUCUAGCAUAUCGCACAGCGUUUUAUUGUAUCUCCUUGUUAUUUCCUCAGGUCCACAUAUACUUUCCUCUAGUUUAUUAAAUUAAUGUCGUAAAAAAAAAUGUUUUUAACCAUACUUGUAUUUUGUCAGGCUAGAUAAAUUACCUAUACAAACAGUAUUAAGUCUAAUAAUAAAUGUGAAGAAAAUAUCUCACUUGUAUCACUUGUAAGAACCCACGAACCAAAUUAGUGCAGCAGACACUAUCCAAAUUAAUUCGGUAUAAUUGAAUUGACUAGGUUUCAUUAUACCUAUUGAAUUUCUCAACCUUAGUUUCGUAAUUAUAUUAGUACAAAGGUUCC